rnacentral:tRNA from 1 species
AGGUGUUUAGCUUAGUAAGGGGAGCGACGUGUUUACACCACGAAGGUCGAAAGUUCAAUUCUUUCAACACCUA